rnacentral:rRNA from 1 species
UACGAAGGGGGCUAGCGUUGCUCGGAAUCACUGGGCGUAAAGGGCGCGUAGGCGGCCAUUUAAGUCGGGGGUGAAAGCCUGUGGCUCAACCACAGAAUUGCCUUCGAUACUGGAUGGCUUGAGACCGGAAGAGGUAAGUGGAACUGCGAGUGUAGAGGUGAAAUUCGUAGAUAUUCGCAAGAACACCAGUGGCGAAGGCGGCUUACUGGUCCGGAUCUGACGCUGAGGCGCGAAAGCGUGGGGAGCAAACAGG